GUGAUGUUUUCCCAUCCCCACAUGUUACGGGAAACUAACAAGCCCAUCCCUUGUCAAGAGACACACGUGCACCUUUUUUUUCGCAUGUAACAGAAGGUUUUUUGUGACUGAAGGAUCUACCUUUGGAAAACUCCCAAGGAGAUGGAUACAUUUAUCAGACACGAGCGAAGCAGAGAUCGCGGACAGUGAUGAAAGACUGGACGGCAUUGCUCUACCACCAACAGUGGUCUGAUGAAGGACUGCAAACCACAGCUCUUGUGUUUUUUGCACCAUGGGUUUUAAAAUCCGUCCUCUGCCUCCCACAAGGAGCUACUACCCAAGGGAAGGGAGAAGAUUAAUUGGUGACCUUUCGCCGUGUUAAAAUAGGAUGAGUAUGUUGCUGGUCAAGGCAGAAACGCUAACUUCCAACUGUGGUCUGUUAAGAGAUCUGCUGGGAACCUUCAGAAGCACUGCCUUCCAAGGCGGGGCCACAGCUUGGGGUGUUCAGCACUUGAGGACGGGUGGAGCUUGUUCAACCCAAAGAUGUGUGCGAUGAACGGAUCUACACACUGGAAAUACGUAUCAAAACUGCAACAGCAAAAUCAUAUUUUGUAAAUUAAAAUUGUGUUUACUUACUGUG
rnacentral:lncRNA from 1 species